GACGAACGCUGGCGGCGUGCUUAACACAUGCAAGUCGAACGGAAAGGCCCUGCUUUUGUGGGGUGCUCGAGUGGCGAACGGGUGAGUAACACGUGAGUAACCUGCCCUUGACUUUGGGAUAACUUCAGGAAACUGGGGCUAAUACCGGAUAGGAGCUCCUGCUGCAUGGUGGGGGUUGGAAAGUUUCGGCGGUUGGGGAUGGACUCGCGGCUUAUCAGCUUGUUGGUGGGGUAGUGGCUUACCAAGGCUUUGACGGGUAGCCGGCCUGAGAGGGUGACCGGCCACAUUGGGACUGAGAUACGGCCCAGACUCCUACGGGAGGCAGCAGUGGGGAAUAUUGCACAAUGGGCGGAAGCCUGAUGCAGCAACGCCGCGUGCGGGAUGACGGCCUUCGGGUUGUAAACCGCUUUCGCCUGUGACGAAGCGUGAGUGACGGUAAUGGGUAAAGAAGCACCGGCUAACUACGUGCCAGCAGCCGCGGUGAUACGUAGGGUGCGAGCGUUGUCCGGAUUUAUUGGGCGUAAAGGGCUCGUAGGUGGUUGAUCGCGUCGGAAGUGUAAUCUUGGGGCUUAACCCUGAGCGUGCUUUCGAUACGGGUUGACUUGAGGAAGGUAGGGGAGAAUGGAAUUCCUGGUGGAGCGGUGGAAUGCGCAGAUAUCAGGAGGAACACCAGUGGCGAAGGCGGUUCUCUGGGCCUUUCCUGACGCUGAGGAGCGAAAGCGUGGGGAGCGAACAGGCUUAGAUACCCUGGUAGUCCACGCUGUAAACGGUGGGUACUAGGUGUGGGGUCCAUUCCACGGGUUCCGUGCCGUAGCUAACGCUUUAAGUACCCCGCCUGGGGAGUACGGCCGCAAGGCUAAAACUCAAAGGAAUUGACGGGGCCCCGCACAAGCGGCGGAGCAUGCGGAUUAAUUCGAUGCAACGCGUAGAACCUUACCUGGGUUUGACAUGGAUCGGGAGUGCUCAGAGAUGGGUGUGCCUCUUUUGGGGUCGGUUCACAGGUGGUGCAUGCCUGUCGUCAGCUCGUGUCGUGAGAUGUUGGGUUAAGUCCCGCAACGAGCGCAACCCUUGUUCACUGUUGCCAGCACGUUAUGGUGGGGACUCAGUGGAGACCGCCGGGGCCAACUCGGAGGAAGGUGGGGAUGACGUCAAGUCCUCAUGCCCCUUAUGUCCAGGGCUUCACGCAUGCUACAAUGGCUGGUACAGAGAGUGGCGAGCCUGUGAGGGUGAGCGAAUCUCGGAAAGCCGGUCUCAGUUCGGAUUGGGGUCUGCAACUCGACCUCAUGAAGUCGGAGUCGCUAGUAAUCGCAGAUCAGCAACGCUGCGGUGAAUACGUUCCCGGG
rnacentral:rRNA from 1 species